AGUCUGUGGUGUGGGCAUUUUUUUUAGAAUUAUCUUGAAACGCUCCUAUGCUUUGUACAAGGAUUCUCCUUCAAAUUGUUUAAAAUUGGCGAUUUCUCACCUCAGUU
rfam:Gossypium hirsutum cultivar TM-1 chromosome 10, whole genome shotgun sequence